UGGGGAAUAUUGGACAAUGGGCGAAAGCCUGAUCCAGCCAUGCCGCGUGUGUGAAGAAGGUCUUCGGAUUGUAAAGCACUUUAAGUUGGGAGGAAGGGCAUUAACCUAAUACGUUAGUGCUUUGACGUUACCGACAGAAUAAGCACCGGCUAACUCUGUGCCAGCAGCCGCGGUAAUACAGAGGGUGCAAGCGUUAAUCGGAAUUACUGGGCGUAAAGCGCGCGUAGGUGGUUUGUUAAGUUGAAUGUGAAAUCCCCGGGCUCAACCUGGGAACUGCAUCCAAAACUGGCAAGCUAGAGUAUGGUAGAGGGUGGUGGAAUUUCCUGUGUAGCGGUGAAAUGCGUAGAUAUAGGAAGGAACACCAGUGGCGAAGGCGACCACCUGGACUGAUACUGACACUGAGGUGCGAAAGCGUGGGGAGCAAACAGGAUUAGAUACCCGUGGUAGUCCGACGCCGUAAACGAUGUCAACUAGCCGUUGGGAGUCUUGAACUCUUAGUGG
rnacentral:rRNA from 1 species